UACGUAGGUGGCAAGCGUUGUCCGGAAUUAUUGGGCGUAAAGCGCGCGCAGGCGGCCUCUUAAGUCUGAUGUGAAAGCCCCCGGCUCAACCGGGGAGGGCCAUUGGAAACUGGGAGGCUUGAGUAUAAGGAGAGAAGAGUGGAAUUCCACGUGUAGCGGUGAAAUGCGUAGAGAUGUGGAGGAACACCAGUGGCGAAGGCGACUCUUUGGCCUAUAACUGACGCUGAGGCGCGAAAGCGUGGGGAGCAAACAGG
rnacentral:rRNA from 1 species